AUUCCUACGGGAGGCAGCAGUGGGGAAUUUUCCGCAAUGGGCGAAAGCCUGACGGAGCAACGCCGCGUGAGGGAUGAAGGCCUCUGGGCUGUAAACCUCUUUUAUCAAGGAAGAAGAUCUGACGGUACUUGAUGAAUAAGCCACGGCUAAUUCCGUGCCAGCAGCCGCGGUAAUACGGGAGUGGCAAGCGUUAUCCGGAAUUAUUGGGCGUAAAGCGUCCGCAGGCGGCCCUUCAAGUCUGCUGUUAAAAAGUGGAGCUUAACUCCAUCAUGGCAGUGGAAACUGUUGGGCUUGAGUGUGGUAGGGGCAGAGGGAAUUCCCGGUGUAGCGGUGAAAUGCGUAGAUAUCGGGGAGAACACCAGUGGCGAAGGCGCUCUGCCGGGCCAUCACUGACGCCCAUGGACGAAAGCCAGGGGAGCGAAAGGGAUUAGAUACCCCUGUAGUCCUGGCCGUAAACGAUGAACAUUAGGUGUCGGGGGAAUCGACCCCCUCGGUGUCGUAGCCAACGCGCUAAGUGUUCCGCCUGGGGAGUACGCACGCAAGUGUGAAACUCAAAGGAAUUG
rnacentral:rRNA from 1 species